UGGAUGACAAAAAGUGCAACUAAGGAAAAUAGAAACAAAAUAAGACAAAUAAAAAGAGUUUUAUCAUUCAAGAAAUGUUCGACAUUCAACAAUCAUCUCAAAUAAAGAAAGAAAGCACUAUUCUAAACCACCCUUCACUUCAGUUAGCUUACAGAUAGAUUAAUCUGUCAGAAUUAAUAUGAAAUUAUCCCCGAUAACUUGGUCAGUGGUUGACUCUGUUUCUUACCAAUUGAUGAUGAUAGAUAUAUAACAAUUUACAAAUUAAAAGACAUUAUUAAUUCAUUAUACACUACCAAAGACAAAAGCUGCUUCUUAUAACAUUCACACUUAGUAUGAAAACUAAAGGCAAAGAAAUCAUCACUCUGGUGCCAGCACGGGACUAAAAAUUUAAUGUAAAAACUAAGCAACGGUUUCCUUGAAUGUAGCAAGUAAACGCCUCUCUUCUUUGCAUCAUUUAUCAGAUCGCUAGCAUUUCGCAAAAUCAUUGGAUCAAUGGCUACUGCUCAAGAAUUUAAUUAUUUCUUUCAAUUCAUAUUCCCAAAUCCAAAUUUUGGUGAUCUGAAUCAAUUCGUUUCCUCCUACGCUUGGUGCCACCUCUCUUUGAUGGAACAAUCAGGAUAAUUCACCCUGUUUUCAUGGUUUUGUUUCGAGGUUUGCAACUUUGCAUGACCAUAGAUUUUCUAAUUCAAUGGAUUUGGGGACAAGCGUGAUUUCUGAUCCAGAAACAAAAAAAAAACAUUCUCAUAUUGGACCGUUUUUAUCUUUUAGGUUGUACAUGAGUUAUUCGUGCCCAUAUGCACAACGAGUAUGGAUCACUAGGAACACAAGGGUUUACAAGACAAGAUCAAAUUGGUUCCUAUUGACCUUAUGAACAAGCCUGCUUGGUAUAAAUUGACUGAAUAAGGUGCCAUCUCUUGAACACAAUGGAAAAGUUUUAGCAGAGUAUUGACUUGAUUAAAUAUGUAGAUGCAAAUUUUGAAGGACCGUCAUUAUUUCCUAACG